rnacentral:rRNA from 1 species
GAUGAACGCUGGCGGCGUGCCUAAUACAUGCAAGUCGAGCGAACGGACGAGAAGCUUGCUUCUCUGAUGUUAGCGGCGGACGGGUGAGUAACACGUGGAUAACCUACCUAUAAGACUGGGAUAACUUCGGGAAACCGGAGCUAAUACCGGAUGAUAUUUUGAACCGCAUGGUUCAAAAGUGAAAGAUGGUCUUGCUGUCACUUAUAGAUGGAUCCGCGCUGCAUUAGCUAGUUGGUAAGGUAACGGCUUACCAAGGCAACGAUGCAUAGCCGACCUGAGAGGGUGAUAGGCCACACUGGAACUGAGACACGGUCCAGACUACUACGGGAGGCAGCAGUAGGGAAUCUUCCGCAGUGGGCGAAAGCCUGACGGAGCAACGCCGCGUGAGUGAUGAAGGUCUUCGGAUCGUAAAACUCUGUUAUUAGGGAAGAACAUAUGUGUAAGUAACUGUGCACAUCUUGACGGUACCUAAUCAGAAAGCCACGGCUAACUACGUG